ensembl:lncRNA
GUAAGUAAAUCCAGAGCGCUCAGAUAGAACUUUUCAAGGAAGAGAUUUCUGCCAGCGAUGACUCUUCGGUGAACUCCCUCAACAGAGAACCUAGGACUCCUUUCCUUCCUCUGAUCCCUUUCCCUCCUGAGGGCCCCUCCAUCCUGGGGCACCCCUUUAAUGGGGGUUCUGUGAUGAAUUUCCAGUUGACCCAUCUAAGGACAGCUCUCAUAUCUUCGACGUUUGGUUUUCUCUGGGAUAACCAGGCUGUGAGGUGGGCUGGAGAGAGAGCUGGGCAAGAAAGGAACCUCACCCUUAGCUCUACCCAUGCAUGAGUGGCUUUAUACAUAGGAUCGGAUUUUCAAACUGGUCUAGAUGGAGUCUCUUCAGCAAGGCCUGGUUCAGCUGGUGGCUUUCAGCCUCUCUCUUCUCAGGGAGUGCGUGCAUGCGCUCACUUUUUCCAGUGGGCUUCUCGGUCUGAUUUAAUGGAUAUACCAGGACUGAUGACACAUCAGCACGGGAUCUUUCUUUUGCUUCUUGGGAUGAACGAGGAGCCCCUCCUAUCCUCAGUGCCUGCAACUCUCUCCAGACCCAAGACCCCAGAAAGGAGAGAAAGGAAAGGAGACAAUGGACACCUGGUACCCUACUGUGCAGCUCAAAAGAAACUUGGAAAAUACAGACUGUCCAAC